rnacentral:lncRNA from 1 species
GGCUCCGAACGUCUCCUGGGGAGCGGCAUGAUUGAAUCAGGGAUUCCCUAGCCCCAGGUCCCCUUCUCCGUCAUUCUCAGGACGAGGCUGCCCAGUUCUCAGUUCUUCAGUUUUGGAACUCGGACUGUCUCUCCUUGCUCCUCAGCCUGCAGACGGCCUAUUGUGGGACCUUGUGAUCGUGUUGUUGUGGUGGUAUUACUACUACUCAGCAAGAUUCUGGUUUUACUUCUCAUCUUGGGAGUUACCAUCAAGACGUUAGGUAUGGCUGUGUGACCCACUUUGGCCAAUGAAAUGUGAACAGAAAUGGCAUAUGUCACUUGUGGACAAAAACAUUUAAGCAAGAAUUUCCCUUGCUGUCUUCCUUGACUGGAGCGACCAUGGAAGCCUGUGUUGAGAUGAAGAGGCUGCCAACAGAUCAAAACACUUGAAAACUUGAGCAGCCACAUGGACUACAACUGUGCUGGAGACUUGCCUGGACCCACAGCAGGCUUGGUAUGCAUGGGGAAUAGAAUUUUGUUGUAUUACACUCCUCAGAUUUGGAUGUCAUUUGUUAUUACAGCAUUACCUAGCCUAUUCUGACCAAUCAGGUGUGUUGGUGGUGGUUACCAGGUGUUAGAAAAUAGAGAUGUAAGAUUACAGUAAAACUGGAGGGGGAAAACAUGUCACCCCAAUAUCUUGGAUUUAGAAGCAGAUGUUGCUAUGGAAUGAAUUGUGUCCCCCCCCAAAUUCGUAUGUUUAGUCCUAACCCUAAAUGUGACUGUAUCUGAAGAUGGGGUCUUUAGGAGGUAAUUAAAGUUAAAUGAGGCCGGGUGUGGUGGCUCACACCUGUAAUCCCAGCCCUCUGGGAGACCGAGGUGGGUGGAUCACCUGAGGUCAGGAGUUCGAGACCAGCUUGGCCAACAUGGUGAAGCCCUGUCUCUACUAAAAAUAGAAAAAGUAGCUGGGUGUGGUGGUGUGUACCUGUAGUCCCAGCUACUUGGGAGGCUGAGGCAGGAGAAGUGCUUGAACCCAGGAGUUGGAGAUUGCAUUGAGCCAAGAUCAUGCCACUGUACUCCAGCCUGGGUGACAGAGUGAGACUCCAUCUCAAAAAAGAAGAAGAAGAAAAAAAAAGGUUAAAUGAGGUCAUAAUCCGAUAGGAGUAUAGACUUAGAAGAAGAGGAAGGGACCUCUCUUUGUCUCUCUCUGUCACAUAGUAAGAAGGUGGCUGGCUGGUUGCAAGCCACAAAAAAAGCCCUCACCAGAAAGUGACUAUCUU